GAGCCGGUGUUCUGUCGAUCUGUCCUACCUUGUCAGAUUUUCCUACCGUAGCGCAAAAUUAUAGCCAUAUCUAUCGGUUCAUCCUACCUCGUCGUAAAAUCCUACUGAGCGUUUCUGCUUCGCGUCUGUGACUAGUACAUAAAAUAUUUCAGUGUAACUUUGCCGAAUUUUCUUAUUAGGCUAUGUUACGGUGAUUUUACAGUGAAAAGUAAGUUACCUCUUCAGAUUGUCCUAUGAAAUAAACGGUAGGAUGAUUUUACGUUGCAAAAUACCUCAUCAGAUUGUGCUACCAGUAUGAAAUAAACGAGUAGUAUGAUUUUACAGUGCAAAAUGCCUCAUCAGAUUGUCCUACCAGUAUGAAAUAAACGAGUAGUAUAAUCGUGUGUGUGUUUAUAUUUUACACCAAACAAUCAAAUCAAUUCGCCGCCAAUUCAUCAAUUUAAUGUGAGAGUAAACAGUUCUCAUUACUGCUAUUAUAUCUUUGUAUAGUAAUAAUUGACAUAAAUAGUGAAAAAAGAUCUCGCGCAAGUAGUAAAAUAUUAUGGGCGUGUUGUUCAGCGUGACAAAAAUGACGUAUUAUUGAUGUGCGCAUGCGCAGUAAGACUUGGUAGGACAAUCUGACGGGUAGGAUGGAAUGUCAGAACACCGGAUUUCGGGUGUGUGGAAGCCAUUCUGACACUUAUGUGGUAAAACUUAAACUUAAAAACGAAAAUUAUGUUUUGCUUGAUGUCAAAAAAGCUGUUAACGUAACGUUAUUUUUAGUUACCAUCUGGCAUUAACUGUUAGGCAAAUGAAUGUCGGAGCCGUCACGUUUAUCAUUUUAUGGAUAUCGUCACACAUUGAAAGAUUUAAGACUCGUGGAGGUUCUCGAUUGUAGUGUCCUUGUUGUAAUGGGCUUAUUUACUUUUAUUUGUCGUGAUGCGGUUUAUUUCUUGCCGAGCGAAUCCGUUAACCAGUUGUGAUAUUUCUAACGUUAGCUAGUGUUUUUAGAGCAAUUUAAUGCCUUCAAGCAAAAGCAACCAGAGGAAUCGUCAAGAAAAGUAAACGCCAUUAAGACUUGCUUGAUUUGAAAGGCAUGAAGACACAACAUGUCAGAAGAGACUGUGUGUGAAUAUGCAGUAACUUAACCGGUACAGCUGCAUCAAGGAAAACACCAGCACCUUUUCUGCAAAAUGAGGACUUUUCUGCUGUAGUUUACAUCCCAAGAACCACCUGCAUGCUUCUUAUGGGUGGUGGACAUUCAGGGUUGUUGUCAUUCAAGAAGUUAUUGACCACAUCUCCUACCCUAUUGAGGCAGUAAGAUGCAAAAUACCUGAAGAAAAUGGCACUUAUCCUGGAUUUCAUAUAAAGAAAUCCUGAAGGUUGAAAAGGCUGAGAUGAAGGAAACGUCCCCAUUCCUCCAAAACUGCUGAAGUUCCUGUAUGAACAACUUCGAAAAACCAGGUAAAGUUUCAAGCUUUUGUCAAAUCUCAAAAUGGAACUUUAACUGAACAUACCGAAAAAUGAACGUUUUUCAUGCAAGUUGUUAAGAUCUUAAAGGGAUAGUUCACUUUGAAAUACAUUUUUGAAAUCUUUUAUACCUCAAGG